rnacentral:rRNA from 1 species
UACGUAGGCAGCGAGCGUUGUUCGGAGUUACUGGGCGUAAAGAGUGCGUAGGCGGUUUUCUAAGUUUGGUGUGAAAUCUCCCGGCUUAACUGGGAGGGUGCGCCGAAAACUGGAAGGCUUGAGUAUGGGAGAGGUAAGCGGAAUUCCUGGUGUAGCGGUGAAAUGCGUAGAUAUCAGGAGGAACACCUGCGGUGUAGACGGCUUCCUGGGCAGUAACUGACGCUGAGGCACGAAAGCGUGGGUAGCAAACAGG